rnacentral:rRNA from 1 species
AACGCGAAGAACCUUACCAGGGCUUGACAUGCGCGCAAAACUCCUUGAAAGGGGAGGUCCGCAAGGGUGCGCGCACAGGUGCUGCAUGGCUGUCGUCAGCUCGUGCCGUGAGGUGUUGGGUUAAGUCCCGCAACGAGCGCAACCCUCGUUCCAUGUUGCCAGCACUUCGGGUGGGGACUCAUGGGAGACUGCCGGGGUCAACUCGGAGGAAGGUGGGGAUGACGUCAAAUCAUCAUGCCCCUUAUGUCUUGGGCUGCACGCAUGCUACAAUGGCCGGUACAAAGGGCUGCGAUACCGUAAGGUUGAGCGAAUCCCAUAAAGCCGGUCUCAGUUCGGAUCGGGGUCUGCAACUCGACCCCGUGAAGUCGGAGUCGCUAGUAAUCGCAGAUCAGCAACGCUGCGGUGAAUACGUUCCCGGGCCUUGUACACACCGGAGUGC